GGUGGAUGUAGAGAGACUUCUGGGCCAGUCCUACGAGAGCUAUGUUGUGGAUCACCAAUAGAUAACCAGCACACCAUAUUUCAACAUCUACAUAAAAGAUUUUGAACAGAGGUGGCGACAAAGAGGGAAAACUGCGGACUGCAGCUUUAAAGAAGUGAACGUGUUUAUUCUGCAAAGAUGCAUUCUGCAACAAAAAUGUUACAAAAACAUAAUGUUCUUUUGAAUUUUCUAUUCAUCAAAGAAUCCUGAUAAAAAGUAUCACAACUGACACUGAUGUUUCUUGCGCAUAAAAGGAUUUCUGAAGGAUCUUAUGACACUGAAGACCGGAGUAAUGAUGCUGAAAAUCUUACCAACUCCAAACUUUUGAAUGGUUGUGUAUAUCAGUGCCUUUUUAUCACGAAAUUAACCAUUUCAAAUGUAAUAAAUAUAUUAAAUAAUAGCGUUGGGAUGAGAUUAUUGCACAAUGAUCAAAUAUUUCUUCUAAGCUUCCAGUUAGUUUGCACAGAUAUAUGUAAUGUGUAUAUGCAUCCAUUUGAAAUAAUAUAACGAGAGAAUUGUGAUUUAAAAAUAUUUUUACAUUAUUAACGAGUAUUGAAUGCUUUACUUUGUCCUGUAAGGAAAAGGAAAUCUUUCAUAUGUGAAAAUAAUCAAACAUAACCAAAGAAAGAUUCGUUUUAUUCAUAUUUAUUUUUGUUGCACAAGACUGCUCAAACACGAGAUGAAAUUCACAACUUAAAAUUGUUGAGUUUGUGUGUCAGUUUUUUUUUAAAGAUGUUUAGUUGUUUCAACAUUGAAAAUGAAAGACAAAAUGAAAAUAAAUACAGUACAAAACAGUUAAUCCAAACAUAUGCAACAAUAUGCUGGAGAGGUGCAAAAGAUAACAAAUAUAGCAAUGCAGCGUAAUUCUAUUUAAUUCCAGUUAUCAAUAAUUCACAAUCUAAUUUGUGCACUAAGGAAGAGAGUUCAAGACCUGUAUGCUUCUAUGUGAAAUCUAUAAGGCCAUAAGUGACUUUGGCCCAAUAAACUUCAGGAAUGUUAAAAAACUGUCACACUCCUUGUUUUCCAUUAAAAAUAAAAAAGGGGAAAAAACUUUCUCAGUAAAGGCGAAUAUGGAAAACAACAUGACAAUGCUUGUAAAUGCUACACUGAAAGCUGUAUGG